rnacentral:misc_RNA from 1 species
CUAGAAUCAAUUGAAACAGUAAUCAUAAUGCAUAGCAGUAAAGCUGUUCCCAUAAAUCACAGAAAUCAGACUAUGAAAAGCUUUGAGCGUUUUGUCAGAUAUUCCACCAGAAAUAAUAGACUCAACCAACUACAGGUUUGGGGCUUCCACAUGACUCGACAGUGAUUCACCAAGUUUCAAUCUCCAAAAACUGAGCACACUGCAUGUAGAGCAUAAACACAGCACCAAAAUGAUAUUGCCCCAAAAAAGAAUGGUAGUGUCAUUUGCUUCGACGAGCACAAUGAAGCUUAUCAAAAAAACCCCAUGAGUGAGGCCUGUUAGCUAACUAUAAGGCAUUCAAAUAGAACCCUAGUUAAUACUUAAUAGUUAUCUGCUCUGGAUGGUUUCCUAUAAAAGCAUAACAGGAACGGUUACUCACAGAAAGCUACCAACUCCCACCAAAUAUGA